AUCGCUUUGGCGUCUUAAAAAAAUACUUGUUUUCUCUUUCAAAAAUAACUUCACCCGAAAAACAGAUUAGAUUUAUUCUAUCUUACCAUAUUGGUUUGAUGAUAUAAUUAAUUAUAUAGGUUGUAAUAUUAUUCCAUAAUUUAUGAAUUGAUGUCCAUAGAAGAUAUAUGUACAUACAUAAUUAUUAAUGUAAACAUAUGAACAUUUAGUAUAUAAAUUAUAAAAAUAAAAAAUAAAUCAAAACCUCAAUUAAUAAUAAUAAUAAUAAUAAUAAUAAUAAUAAUAAUAAUAAUAAUAAUAAUAAUAAUAAUAAUAAUAAUUGGACAGUUAUAAUUGAACAUUUAAUAAUAAUAAUAAUAAAUAAAUAAAUAAAAUAAUAAAUAAAAUAAAAUAAAAGAAGAAACGGUUAACCGGCAUAGUCGUGGAGUAAUUCCUUCUCCCGUGUCGAAACAUCCCCUUUCCCCGCAUCAAAGUCGUCUCCACUUGCCCCGUCUGCGGUCUCCCGCUCAAAGCCAACUUAGCUUUCCCUUUUGCCGGCCGUGAUCAGCGACCGACUCCUGGUCGCGCAUUCCCGGCCUUUUCUUCGUUUGGAGCGCGACGAGUCCGCCGUCGCUCUUCGCGUUCCGAUCUCUCCCUUGUUAUCGUUGCCUUGGACAUAUUCUGAUGCCUUUGAAUCAGCAGCUGAGAUGACGGACUCUGCUUUUCUAAGGUUAUUAUUUUCCGUAGCCAUCUGGUGCAUUGCCUAUGCUGUGGUUGCAGUUCAAAUGUCUAUCCGACUCUUCAAUUUCAAUCGUUCCUCCUUGAACUAGUAUUGAUUUCAGCAAAUAUACAGUGCGACUCAAGCUUUUUGACUGAAGAUUGGUUGCAGUUGGUUUUCAGCUUCUGAAAGCGUUCUGCUAUCCUCAAAUUGCUUAGUGGUUGUAAAAAUGAACAUAUGGAAUUGAACUUUUUUUUUUUUAAUUUCACUGCAUAUGCAAUAUAUGCUUCUACUGUAAUCGGUGGCUUUUCAGAGAUGUAAUGAUCGAUUGUGAUUCUUUCAA